GGCUCCAUGGUGUAGGGGUCAUCACGUCUGAUUUACACACAGAAGGGCCUGGGUUCAAGCCCCAGUGCAGCCA
rfam:Struthio camelus australis contig65580, whole genome shotgun sequence.